rnacentral:rRNA from 1 species
UACGUAGGUGACCAGCGUUUGUCCGGAUUUACUGGGCGUAAAGAGCGCGCAGGCGGUCGUUCAAGUCGAGUGUGAAAGCCCCCGGCUCAACUGGGGAGGGUCAUUCGAUACUGAUCGACUCGAAGGCAGGAGAGGGAAGCGGAAUUCCCGGUGUAGUGGUGAAAUGCGUAGAUAUCGGGAGGAACACCAGUGGCGAAGGCGGCUUCCUGGCCUGUUCUUGACGCUGAGGCGCGAAAGCGUGGGUAGC